AUACGUAGGGGGCAAGCGUUAUCCGGAAUUAUUGGGCGUAAAGAGUGCGUAGGUGGUUACCUAAGCGCAAGGUUUAAACUAUCGGCUUAACUGAUACUCGCCUUGCGAACUGGGCUACUUGAGUGCAGGAGGGGAAAGCGGAAUUCCUAGUGUAGCGGUGAAAUGCGUAGAUAUUAGGAGGAACACCAGCGGCGAAGGCGGCUUUCUGGACUGUAACUGACGCUGAGGCACGAAAGCGUGGGGAGCAAACAGGAUUAGAUACCCUGGUAGUCCACGCCGUAAACGAUGAGCACUAGCUGUUGGUCCCGAACGGGAUCAGUGGCGCAGUUAACGCAAUAAGUGCUCCGCCUGGGGAGUACGCUCGCAAGAGUAAAACUCAAAUGAAUUGACGGGG
rnacentral:rRNA from 1 species